GACACACCCAUCCCUUCGAAUCUAUCUGCUCCAAUCUACACUCUUCCACUGCUGGUCGGCCAGCAGCAAUGCUUCCUGCAAGACCGGCGGCGGCACACUCCUACAGGCUCUCCAAGCGACCAAUCUUGGUGAUUUCAGUAGCAAUAGGUAGAAGAUGGAGACCCCUGAAUUCCUUAGUGACAUUUUCUCGCAGGAUCAAGCCGAUCUUUCAUGUAUUGCUGAUGGGUAAGUUUUCUGUCAUUUCCCCCUAGAGUUAGAGCAAACUAUGGGCUUCUAUUUGGUAAAUAAACUGUUUCGAGUUGUGCCAUUGUUCCGUAGUCCUACAAACUUGCUGUGCGUAUAGGUGCUGCUUACGUGAAGUUUAAUGAUGAUGGCACUCGCGGGUAUUGUAAUGCAUGCAACAUUACUAAGAUUUUAGACAGACAUAGCACAAAUUGGAGUGAUUUGCUAUUUGACAUUGGUACUGAAAUUAAACUUGGCCAUAAACACAAGUUGUGUGUCACCUUUUGGAACAAAAUGAGUCGGCUUUAUGAAGAAAUUAAUUCUUCAAGCAAUUGACAUGUA